AGCGAGGCUAGAGUCACGCCUUGACAUUGUUUAUUGUCCUGGUGUGCUAGAGUGCUCGCAGAGUGAAAGUCUGUGCUUAUUCGUUGGCUGGUAUCUGCAGUGACCCGGGCAAUCACAAUGUCAGACACAUCA